ACCUACUCACAUUAAAACAAUUUCAAAUUGUGGCUGUUAAGUCAUUGGAAAUUUUACCUGCCUUUAUAAUAAUAUAAUCUUUGUAUUAUCAUAAAUGAUGGCCUGAUAAUGCGAAUUACCGAGAAUAUAGCGAGAUUUGGCAUUUAUGAAGAAAUAUGUAAUUUGGUAUAAAACAGUAUCAAUUUGGUAUGAUAAGAAAUACUGCCAGUCACUUUCCUCAAAAACUAAAUUUGAAUGCUAUUUUUUUCAUAUUAAGAACUCCUUACGUCCUAAAUGAUUCAUGCGUGUGACUUUUUUUUCUAUUGAAUUAUUAUCGAUGAUAACUAUCUUAUCGCUGUGGACGCUAGCUUCGCUUUAGCAAGCAAGUGAGCUACAUAAUAAGUCGACUGCUUAAAUAAAAAACAUUUCGGAGGACGUGGUGGCUUAGCACUUGGAUAUAUUUAAAUAAAAGCAGCAAACAUGGGUUUAUGCUGCAGCUGUUGUGGUGAUGACGGAGGUGGUGUGACGGUAGUGGACCAGGCAUUCAACAAUGAUGGGGGCUUCCCCCCACCACCCGACGGCGGGGCAGUCACCGAGGGGCCCAACUUCCAAAUGAGAUGAUCACAGCCUCAAACACGCGUGUGUUUGAGGCGAAAAACAAUUCCGCAGCGCUAGUGAUAUAACUAUGUAAUAUUAUUUAAGAAAACUUCUUGUCUUAUUAAAAUUAUGAAACUAAAACUGCA